rnacentral:rRNA from 1 species
AACGAACGCUGGCGGCAUGCCUAACACAUGCAAGUCGAACGAAGCCUUCGGGCUUAGUGGCGCACGGGUGAGUAACGCGUGGGAAUGUGCCUUUGGGUUCGGAAUAACGGGUAGAAAUUAUUGCUAAUACCGGAUGAUGACGGAAGGCCAAAGUUUUAUCGCCCUAGGAUGAGCCCGCGUCGGAUUAGCUAGUUGGUGAGGUAAAAGCACACCAAGGCGACGAUCCUUAGCUGGUCUGAGGGGAUGAUCAGCCACACUGGGACUGAGACACGGCCCAGACUCCCACGGGAGGCAGCAGUGGGGAAUAUUGGACAAUGGGCGAAAGCCUGAUCCAGCCAUGCCGCGUGAGUGAAGAAGGCCUUAGGAUUGUAAAGCUCUUUUGCCCGGGAUGAUAAUGACGGUACCUGGAGAAUAAGCUCCGGCAAACUCCGUGCCAGCAGCCGCCGUAA